UACGUAGGGUGCAAGCGUUGUCCGGAAUUAUUGGGCGUAAAGAGCUCGUAGGCGGUUUGUCGCGUCUGCUGUGAAAACUUGGGGCUCAACCCCAAGCUUGCGGUCGAUACGGGCAGGCUAGAGUUCGGUAGGGGAGACUGGAAUUCCUGGUGUAGCGGUGAAAUGCGCAGAUAUCAGGAGGAACACCGGUGGCGAAGGCGGGUCUCUGGGCCGAUACUGACGCUGAGGAGCGAAAGCGUGGGGAGCGAACAGG
rnacentral:rRNA from 1 species